GCAUCGGGGUGGGUCCGUCGGUGAAGGGAGUGGAAGGGCGUACGUGGAGCUGAGGUGUGGGACCUAGGGAGUCUACGCGGCGGUGACGGCAGCAGUGGUUCUCUCUCUCUCUCUCCCUCUCUCUCUCUCUCUCUCUCUCACGAUCGCUACCGUUGCCGCCCGGUUUGCCUAACGGUUCGUGUACGCUUCACAUAGGCGACUCUAGCGACGGGAAGAUCUAGAGGCUUAGAGCGUGCUUUCUUCCUAGUACCCCUACCGCCGCCGCCGCCGGCCUCAGUGAAGGAGGUAGUAGGUGUCUCUACCAGUUUAGCUUCUUCUUCUUCUCCUCUCCGACUCGUACACGCAGCGACGGCACGUCCUUCUGCUACAUAGGCCCGGACGGCGGCGGCGGGGUAGCGUCCUUCUCCGCGGGAGUAUCCAACAGCUCCGGCUUCCGCUGGUGUUCUCUUUGGAGCUCCUCCACUCCACUUGCUGUGUCCCCUCCUACGGUUGGCUGACGCGCACCUUCUGACCUUCGGUUGCACGUCACUCGUUGCCAGCUACUGAUCCCGCUGUAGGUGUCGUUCCGCCUCGUCCGUAUUACAACAGCCGACGGUGUUCUCGUUUUCAGGCAGCCCGCCACGGAGACACCCCAGAGGGUCGGUUGCUGCUACUUUACUUCGAUGUUCUGGUCGGACGAGACAGAUCCCUACGCCGUUGGUAGUGACCUGUCUUUAAGGAUAAGAACUCGGAACUCAAGAGAGGAGAGGGUCGAACGUGAGCACUGACCGGCCUCUCGUUGAUGGCGUAAGUACCAAAGUAGUUUCAAAGGUGGUAAGACUAAGAAGAAGACUUAUAACAUCGCAACGACGUGAUAAAGACCGUACAGAGAUAUAACGGUAACCUACGGUUCGCCUUUCAGAGUCAAUAGAUUGUUUGAUUUAUCCCAGCACUACACUAGGUGGGACACUUCUCCCAUUAAAGACGAACACUAAACCCGUUCCUAGACCCACGAGAAGCAAACGAGUGACACAAACAAGGAUCCAAUCGUGGCGACAACAGUCGCCCAUCUUACCAGCUGACCGGUACCUCGGGAGACGCUCGUCCAUUGACUUAAAAGACUGGUUCCUCGAAAGAUUGGGACAUUUUUUAGUAAGAUUGUCAACGAUUAGUCAUUUAUACACAUUGACAAAGUCCACUCGAAUUAAAGAUCCCCAUACUCCACUAAGACCAGUGGAGGCCGCGGCAGCCGUAGCCCUCCAUCUCCGAGUACAUGGCUUUCGAGUAGCUGUCGUCAAAGCGACUAGACGUCUUGGGUGUCAAGCUGGACCUACCCUUCCGGAUGCGACGGCAGCCGGUCUCACCGGAGUACCGAUAGAUGCUAUGUGACGAAUCGGUUAACAAGCAGCAGACACAACAAUCGGUCGUUCAGACACAGCAAUCGGUCGUUCAACCCAUUAAGAAGACAACGAAGUGCCUAAAAGGACGUGCAACACAGACAUAAUAACAGUGACUUCUAUAUGGAGUUGACUUCUAGAUCGAGCGCUGCUACUACAUGGAUUCCGAGCCUACGUUCCACACUCAGUUGUUACGGUCAUCACUCAGCUCUCUUCACCUCUUCUCCCAGGGAGGUCCGAGGUAUGUACUUACCACCACCGUACACCGUUACAGCCCCUUUCGUUCCUUCUACAACAACAUGUAGCAGCUUGUAUAUUUGGGACCACCGGUUUGAUUUACAAAAUAUAAGGAAACCCUUUUAAAAUUCCUUUAGGGGGGUUUGUUUAAUAAGUCUAUUGAUGAAGUCCAAUCCGUUCUCUUUAUUUUUCCCAUUGGUAUCUAUAUACCAGAUCGUAGUGCUCCAAGUCCAAGGACGACAACUAGUUGGCAACGAAGUCAGCUCUCUAAUUUCUUCUGACUUUAUACCCGAGUUCGCUAACGAUACAGGCUGGACGUGUUCUUACGGUUCUUCAGAAAGAGCCUCUACUAAUUCCUGUACAUGGACGUGAUGUUGCUCUCUAGACCCGACGAAGAAACACCGAAGGUUUGAACUUUACAAACAAACCCUCAAUCAAAUCAAAAAACAAAACCUAAGUGUCGAAGAGUGUACAUGGUAGGAGAAUCUGGAAAUCUAAAAGUUUCUUUGAUUUACUUCUAUACCACCAUACCAGAGUUAUCAUGUUGAAUUUAGAAAGAUACGAAAUAUAAACGAGACUUUAAACGAGAGCUUCUUAGUACAUAGAUACAAUCUAGGGCACUCGAAAUAUAAACGAGACUUUAAACAAGAACUUCGUAGUACAUAAACACAAUCUAGGCCA
rnacentral:rRNA from 1 species